rnacentral:misc_RNA from 1 species
CGGUCUUCGAACGUCAUUCUCUGGAGACGGUCUGCGCAUGGCGCGUGCCUUUUCCUGCUUGCCGUUCUGGGGUGCCUGCAAGCCAGCGCGCAACAGAAGCCCGCGUCACCACUCGACGAAUUUGAGCGGCGAUUUGCCGCUGCCAACUCGGCGAAGGAGGCGGGUGACUUGCCCGCUGCCGCUGCCGCCAGCGAGAAGAUAGUCGCCCUCGGACUGCGCGAAAUGGGAAAGUUGCGCCUCUUUGAAGCGGCAUAUCCCGAGGCCGCCAGGUUCUCCCGCAGGUCCCUCGAGUUUGAGGAUGUUGCAGAUGCGCACGUCGAUCUCGCUGCCGCCAACUUGUUUACCAGCCGGUUGGACGAAACACUCAAAGAGGU